ACAGCAACAGUGCAAUUCUGCUUUCCGACAAGUCUGCUGUUGUGCGUAAGAACACACUCAUAGUUUUGACUCGGCUGAUUCUUAACGACAUGCUGAAAGUCAAGGGGCAUAUUAGUGAGAUUGCAGUUUGUUUGGAGGAUGAGAAUGAACAUAUCAAGAAGUUGGCGUGGUUCUUCUUUCAUGAAUUGUCACACAAAGGCAACGCGAUCUACAACAUCUUACCGGAUAUUAUCAGUCAACUGUCAGAUCCUGACCGAGCGUUGCCACAACAGCAGUUUACAACGAUA